GUAAGCGCAGCGAUGCGUUGAGCUAACCGGUACUAAUGAACCGUGAGGCUUAACCUUACAACGCCGAAGC
rnacentral:rRNA from 2 species